rnacentral:rRNA from 1 species
AACGAACGCUGGCGGCAGGCCUAACACAUGCAAGUCGAACGCCCUAGCAAUAGGGAGUGGCAGACGGGUGAGUAACACGUGGGAACGUGCCCUUCGGUUCGGAAUAACUCAGGGAAACUUGAGCUAAUACCGGAUACGUGCGAGAGCAGAAAGAUUUAUCGCCGAAGGAUCGGCCCGCGUCCGAUUAGCUAGUUGGUGAGGUAAUGGCUCACCAAGGCGACGAUCGGUAGCUGGUCUGAGAGGAUGACCAGCCACACUGGGACUGAGACACGGCCCAGACUCCUACGGGAGGCAGCAGUGGAGAAUAUUGGACAAUGGGCGAAAGCCUGAUCCAGCCAUGCCGCGUGAGUGAUGAAGGCCUUAGGGUUGUAAAGCUCUUUCGCCAGGGAAGAUAAUGACGGUACCUGGAAAAGAAGCCUCGGCUAACUCCGUGCCAGCCGCCGCCGUAA